rnacentral:snoRNA from 1 species
CCCAGCUGUAGGCAGCUGCCUAGGUUGCCUUGUACCUAGGCAAGUGUUACACCGCUGGGAGAACAGCAGCUAAUAGCUGGCUGACAUUCUGGGCCUGGUUUUUGCCAACUCUGUUGUCAACUAUA